GACGAACGCUGGCGGCGUGCUUAACACAUGCAAGUCGAACGGAAAGGCCCUGCUUUUGUGGGGUGCUCGAGUGGCGAACGGGUGAGUAACACGUGAGUAACCUGCCCUUGACUUUGGGAUAACUUCAGGAAACUGGGGCUAAUACCGGAUAGGAGCUCCUGCUGCAUGGUGGGGGUUGGAAAGUUUCGGCGGUUGGGGAUGGACUCGCGGCUUAUCAGCUUGUUGGUGGGGUAGUGGCUUACCAAGGCUUUGACGGGUAGCCGGCCUGAGAGGGUGACCGGCCACAUGGGGACGGAGAUACGGCCCAGACUCCUACGGGAGGCAGCAGGGGGGAAUAUUGCACAAGGGGCGGAAGCCUGAUGCAGCAACGCCGCGUGCGGGAUGACGGCCUUCGGGUUGUAAACCGCUUUCGCCUGUGACGAAGCGUGAGUGACGGUAAUGGGUAAAGAAGCACCGGCUAACUACGU
rnacentral:rRNA from 1 species